CGCGGCCUAUCAGCUUGUUGGUGAGGUAACGGCUCACCAAGGCAUCGACGGGUAGCUGGUCUGAGAGGAUGAUCAGCCACACUGGGACUGAGACACGGCCCAGACUCCUACGGGAGGCAGCAGUGGGGAAUAUUGCACAAUGGGCGCAAGCCUGAUGCAGCAACGCCGCGUGCGGGAAGAAGGCCCUAGGGUUGUAAACCGCUUUCAGCAGGGAAGAAACUGACGGUACCUGCAGAAGAAGGUGCGGCCAACUACGUGCCAGCAGCCGCGGUGACACGUAGGCACCAAGCGUUGUCCGGAUUUAUUGGGCGUAAAGAGCUCGUAGGCGGUUCAGUAAGUCGGGUGUGAAAACUCUGGGCUCAACCCAGAGAGGCCACCCGAUACUGCUGUGACUUGAGUACGGUAGGGGAGCGGGGAAUUCCUGGUGUAGCGGUGAAAUGCGCAGAUAUCAGGAGGAACACCAGUGGCGAAGGCGCCGCUCUGGGCCGUAACUGACGCUGAGGAGCGAAAGCGUGGGUAGCAAACAGGAUUAGAUACCCUGGUAGUCCACGCCGUAAACGUUGGGCACUAGGUGUGGGUCUCAACCAACGAGAUCCGCGCCGUCGCUAACGCAUUAAGUGCCCCGCCUGGGGAGUACGG
rnacentral:rRNA from 1 species